rnacentral:lncRNA from 1 species
AAAUGUUUUGUGAUGUAUACCAAAGUAGUUGAUUUAAUUAGUAGACAACAACAUAGAUCAAAACAUCAAAUAUUAAUUCAAUUAAUACUUUUUUUUUACGGAUAAUUCAAUUAAUACAUAAUGAGUUAGAAAAAUGUGUUUCAAACUACUACCUGUAGUCCUUUUUUUUAAAAAAAAAAAGUUGACUUUUAAAAUUUAUUGAAUAAUUAAUGUAUCUGAUUAGAUAUUCAAUAAAUCUAAAAAAUGAAUUGUUUCUUAUAAAAAUGAUCAAACCGAGUAAAUGUUAUAAUUCAAUUACCUUCUUGAGAAAUGGAAAGGGGAGAGAACACCAGUAGUGUCUCUAGCUGCCCAUCCAAAGGCCUUCUUAGGAUGCUCUAUUAUUUUACCUUCUGAUGCCAUUGCAAACUAUAUGUUAUAAUAAUUCAAUUAUGUCCUCAAAUACAGGUUGUGUUAUGUAUUUAUUAGGCAUAAAGUUUAUGGAUAAUAUUAUUACAAUUAUUACAAAGAUAUGGGAGAUGCUUUAUGGAGAUAUUUAUAAGUGCUACAUGUGAGGGUUGUGUUAUUGUGUCCACGCAUUUGAUUACGUUAUCUAUAUAACAUAUCUUGUUAUCUAUAAAACAUAUCUUGUGUGAACUGUGUAGGAUUUUGUAUACUUUCUCUUUGAUGAAUGCAACGUUUACUUUUUUCCUUUCUUCUUUUCUUUCUCUUUCAUGAAUGCAACGUUUACAUUAAUAAAACAUGUUCUUCAUUUUUUUCAAUAGGAACUCAAAACAAUUCAUUUUAUUGCAAUAUUAUAAAUGACUAUUAAAAUUGUCUUCCGAUAAAAGUUAGAUUGUAGUAACUAGUGUUAGAUGUGAUAAAGGACUUAUACCUAUUAAAAAUGUCCCAAACUCAUUAAUAUUAAUCAGUGUCUCAAUUGGCGAUUACGUUCACCAUAAUUUAACAAUUACUCUCAAAAUUGACUUGAUUAUAACUAUUUUUUGUCUUUAUCUAAAGAUUUUUUUUUUCGAGAGUCCAAAAAGCAACGAAGCAAUAACAAAUUAAUAAUUUAUAAUUCAUAAUCACCCCAUAGAUAUGAAUUUCAUAUUUCCAUCCAAACCUUAAGACACUGAAAAUAUAAGCCGCAUCAAUAUUUAAUUCAUUAAUGUUCAUGUUGAAUUAACUCGUCAUAGAACCAACCAAUUUCUCGGGUGUAAAAUUUACAACCAACUGAAAACACCUCUAUUAACUACACAUAAUCGGUGGUGGAAACUUCGUAUAAAAAAAAAAAAACUACACCUCAUGAAAGAUCAAAUCCAACAAAAUAUCCAUUGUUGUUUUUUCUCACAACAAUAAUCAACCUCUUAUACUACAACAAUGGUUUAAUAACCCAAGACCACUAAAAAUUAGGAUAUUACAUUUUUACUCAAAUUUUUAAUCACUGAAAAUAUGGAUUAUCGAUCGUGAUAUAUAUUCAUAAUCGAUAUGAGACUUUAACUAUCUAUCACACUUAACCCAACAAUUUUAUUGCCUAAAUAACUUUUUUCCUGAGUUUAUGUUUGAUGUAUAUUAUUGGAUUCCUUCCUGGCUCUAACUUUUUUAUCAACUUUUAUUAUAUCUAUUUGAUUUGGUAUAAUUUAAUGAGUCAAUGAUGUAAUAGCGUAGGUAGAAACAAUAUAUAACAUACUGUAUUUCAUUAAGAUAUAUAGCGUACGUUGCCCAAAUAUAUUUCAAUUUUUGUCACAUUCUUCAAUUUAUAAAUUUAAUUUUUCCAGUGAUGUAAAUCGUGCACAAGUGCAGGUUGCGCUAUAAAGCCGAACUUCCAUUUGCAAGAGGCUUAAAAAAAUUAUAUGGUAGUUUCUAAAAAAAAAUUAAGUUAAUUUUAAAAAAUAUUAAUAUAUAGUAUAGUAGAUUUUAAUUUGAAGUUUUACUUGUACUAUGUACUACUCUUAUUUGAGUAUCUUACAAAUAAGAGUUAUUGGCUUUUGAUAGCAACUGACAAUGAUCAUUUCAAAAAUAUAUAACAUGACGACUUGAUCGACAAAUUUGCUUCAAAAACUGUUAGAAAAGAGGUUAGAAUAGAGGUUUUUUUAAGUAGCUGGAAGGUAUUUUGUUGUUAUGGAUUAGAAUAAGAAUAUUUAUUUUAUUGUAACAAAAAAAAAAGAAUAUUUAUUUUAUGCAAAAGUAAGAAUCUUUUGUUGGAAUUAAAUCAAUAAAGAUUAAUCAGAUAUACAUGCUCAAUAUAUUAUGACAUAUACUUUAGUGCGGAAACAUAUAUUUUGGGGAUUUUUCUUAAUAAAUUUAGGGUUUAUUGAAAUUUGAGGAUUUUGAAUUUUAAGUUUAAAGAAGGAAAUGGAAGUGAAGAUAUUCAAGCAAUUUGGAGGUUUUUUUUUACCAAAGCAACUUGGAUUGGAGGGUUAAUAAUGAAGAUUUGGGGAUUUUGAAUUUUGAUUUAAGGAAGAAGAUGAUAAGAGGAUAAAAAUGUCCUUGGCUAGUGAUACACUGAAUUUCUAUAAGCUAAUUUUUAUUAUUACUCCAUUUGACCACUGAAUUAUUAUAUGAAAUAUUUGAAUAUAUAUCCUGCCAAAUUCAAGAGUUUGGUUUUAAUGUGUUUCCAAUAUCAAUCACAAAUCGAUAUUUCACAUUUGCUUUAAGAAGCCGCUCCAUUGCUGUAUUAACAUAAUCAAUAGGAAUUAUCUCAAUAUCUGAGUGAAUUGAGUCUCCUUUAUCCCUCCAAUUAAACUUCCAGUGAAUUGAGUUAAAUUCAUAGUUACUUGUAACAGAAGUUAUCAAGUCUGUUAGUUAGUUUUGUUUGUGUGCAGCAGAAACAUUAUCAUAUGAUAUAAAUGCAGAUAAAGGAAAUUUACACUGAGAUGAUGAUUGAACUGUGUAUCAGCAGAAGAACCAUGGAAUUUGUUAGUGAUGAGAGGUUGCAAUGGUAAUCUUGUAGAUAACCAGGAGGUUUGGAUUCUCUUAAAGAUUUUCUAAUGGGUUGGUCAGUGUUAAUAAUGGGGUGAAUGUCAUUGUUGGAUGAAGUGGUGAUAUGGUUGCUUGGUGAUGAAGGAAGAUCAAUUUGAUCAAUGGAAUUAUUUUGAAGUGAUUUCUGGUCAUUUUGAGUUAUGUGAGGUGAAGAUGUAUUUGGAAUUGAUGAGGUUGGAGUGUUAUGUGAAGAUUUGGUAUGAGUGUGAGUGUGAGAAGAGAAAUCAUAAGUACUUUGAUUUAAGCUCCAUGAAAUAUAGCCAGGUAAAUCUGGUUUUAUUAUCCACAAUGGUUAAAAAAUACUUGUAACCCAUCAUGGAAGGAAUGGACAAUGAUCCCCAAAUGUCAAUAUGAACAAGAUCAAAUUUAUUAGUUGAAAUAUGAGAACUAUUAGAAAAUGGUAAUCUCUUCUGUUUAGCAUAGAAACAUACAUCACAAGGAUUUGAAGACUUAGAAAAUUUAACAAAUGAAAACAUUUUAUUGAUUUCAAUGAGUUUUACAUCAGAUGAGUGACCAAAUCUCUUAUGCCACAAUGUACAAUCGUUGUUCUUAUGUGAAUCUAAGCUACUAACAGAAUUGAUACAAGGAGAAUUUGGUGUCUGUCCUAAGCUAAUGGUUGGUGUUUUGAGAAUGUAAAGUCCAUGAUUCAACUCAGCUAAUGGUUGGUGUUUUGAGAACUAAGCUUAGGGACAGAAAUCAAAUUAAAAGAAAAAUUAGGAAAAUAUAAUGCAUCAGUUAAGUAAAAGUCAUUAUCAAAAACAAUGGUGCCAGCAAAACAAGUGGUGACAAUGGAACCAUUUGGUAAUUUGAUUUCUGAUGCAUUAUAUUUUCCUAAUUUUUGUUUUAAACAUUUAGAAGUACAGUACAUGUUUAGCAUCAUACUGUAUUAUUCUUGUACCUGCAAGUAAAGGAAAAACUGGAAGCUCUAAGGCUUUUCAGGUGCACCAACCAAUACAAGCUUUCCAAAAAUAGCAUAAAUUUGUUUACAAUGGGCCGGUCUGAAGCCCAAUGGGCUAACCCCGUCCAGCCCGAUAUUUAUAUGGGCUACAUGGCCUUGACCCAAAAAAGCCCGAUUGCAUUUGGGCUAUGUUUUUUGAGGUUUGGCCCACCCAAGACCGUGGGCUAAUAGGCUGACCCUUUUAGCCCGACCCGUUUUUAAUAGUUCUAGUUUGACAUAUGGUGAAAACCUUUUUGAAACGCUAUCGGUGAUGAAGGUAGUUCAACCUCUCAUACCUUGCUCUCAGACUAUUCUCCCUCUAAUCCUAGAUGUUCAUGAUUCAAUGAUAUGCUAUAAUUUGUAUCUAUGAGCUAUGGCCUUAUAUUAAAAUUUCAACACAAUGUUCCAAGGCACAGAGAUAAUUUUUAGUGUUCGUUGAUUAUCGAUCCGACGACAGUUUGGUCGAAGUUAAACGAUACAAAUUUGGCUUAUAUUAGAUAGAUUCAAUGUUUUUAAUGGUGUCUUUUUCUCCAUUAGGCAGUCCACGAAAUCAUGAGGUACGUGAGCAAUCUGCAUAGUGUGAGAAAACCGGAGCAAUUUCUUGCUGAAUUUGAUAGAUUCUCAAUUCAUCUUCCGUAUCUAAGAAGAUCACGCGACAAGCUAUGUCGUACUAGGCGGAGCUAGGACCCCGGGCCAGGGGGUGCAAAAUAUUUUUCCUCAUUUUAAAAAAUAAAAAUAAAAUAAAAUCCUCAUUUUUUCAUCCUCGCGAGUUUAAUUCAAUUAAUUGGUCGAUUGGAUAAAGACAUUGCAUGUUAUAUGCAGAAGUUAAAGUUCGAAUCUUGAAUUCUCCACUUAUUCACCUCAUAUCUUAUAUCAUGUGCGCUUCCUAAUCCUAAUGCAUUUUUGACUUAUUAAAAAUUAAUUAAGGGUCAUGCUAAACAGUGUUCCCGAGCACUUAUUAAGCAUACCUAAAAAGGAAAUAAAAAAUAAAAUUUAUAUCGAAAAGACAACUUUUUGUACUUUUGAGGCAUUGAAUACACGUAUUUGAAGAUAAAAUUUCUAUUUUAACAUGCUUAACCCGUGCCCGGAGCACUGUUUUGCAUUUUCCAUUAAUUAAUUGAUCAAUCAAUAAUGAAAAAGUAGUAAAUCGAUGUAUGCAAGAAACAAAAGCAAGUCACAGAAAGGAGAUAUGGGUCACGUCAGGUGCAAAGUUAUAAAUUCAGAGGGUGCAAAACAUAAAUAGCAUGGGAUUAUUGAUGUAAACAUUAACAGUCCAGGGGGUGCAGCUGCACCCUCUCACACUAGAGUAGCUCCGCCAUGGAGGGUCCAUGUUAUCACAAGAUCGUUGCAGCAUUGCCACAAUGGCAAUUUUGCAUCAGUUGCAAGAUCAGUGCAGCUGAUCCUUAACAAUGCUGUAUUUGAUUGAAAAUUACAAGGAUAUCUUUAAGAAAAAUGUUAAAAACCAAAGAGAUUUUAUUAAAAAUAGCAGAUUACAAGACAUAGAAAUUAAAUUACAGCACAACAAUAUAAUAAACAUGGAUAUCUAGCAUAUCCUCAACAAGUGAUACAUUGAAACUUUCUGAAAGUUAAAUGUUUCUGUUAUUAUUUGUUCACCGGCGAAUCAUAUUCUACGAAUACAUCCUACAAAGUUUAAGUGCUUUCUUUCAGUGAGUUUCCAAUAUCAAUCACGAAACGAUACUUCACAUCUGCUUUAGCAAGACGCUCCAUUGCCGUGUUGACAUAAUCAAUAGGAACGAUCUCAAUCUCAGGCUUUACAUUGUGUUCUGCCGCAAAAUCAAUCAUUUCUUGAGUCUCUUUUAUCCCUCCGAUCAAACUUCCGGCUACCAACUUUCUCCCUACAAAUAAUGUGAAAUUAAUACAAGUAAGCACAUUUUGAAUUUUAUCAUGAUUCAUCAACCAUCUUGUUGGAGUAUAUAUGGAAACAUUUUUCAUAUGCUUACCUCCAAGUAAAGAAAAUGCAGGAAGCUCUAGUGGCUUUGCGACGCCACCAACCAUUACAAGUUUUCCAUUGGUUUUCAAUAAACCAAUCAGUUGUGAGAUAGGAUGACUCGCAGAAACUGUGUCAAUAAUACCAUUCAAAGUACCGGUUGCAGCCUAUAAAAUGUUACCACUGUCAAUUUAUGAAAUAAUGAAAUUCACAUAAAAUCAAAUGAAUUAUAUACUGCAUUGUACCUGCAUUUGAUCUGGGUCGCGACUUAUUAGAAACGAGUCAGCUCCUAAGUGUUCAAUUGCUUCCUUUUCUUUGCUUGGCGAUGUACUAAUGACUGUAACAUUAGCACCAAAAGCUUUGGCGAAUUUCACAGCCAUAUGACCGAGUCCACCAAGACCAACAACGCCUAUAUUCAUACCAGGUUUGUCGAGUCCAAAAUGCCUAAGAGGACUAUACACUGUAACACCAGCACAAAGGAGAGGACCGGCAACAUCAAGAGGUAAGUUGUCAGGAAUAAGGAUCACAAAGUGCUCGUCUGCAACCAUUGAGUCGGAGUAACCUCCAUAUGUAAUGGUGCCAUCGCGAUACUUGGCACCACAUGUAACUGUAUGUUGGGGACAAUAAUUCUCAAGAUUUUCAUCACAAUUUUCGCACGACCGGCAUGAAUCAACCAUGUAUCCCACACCUACUUUGUCUCCAACUUUAAACUUUUCUACUUUGCCUCCCACUUCAGUUACUACACCCACAAGUUCAUGCCUGUAUUUUAAUUUUUACAUCAAUUAUAACCAAAUUGAGCAAAUAAUUUUUUCCUUAAAACGCGACAAUUAUAAAGUAACGGAAGAGUAAACUAUAAUCGUAGAGCGAGUUAAGAACAUACCCUGGAACUAAUGGAUAGAUUGAAUUGCCCCAUUCAUUGUGUAUCAUAUGAAGAUCAGUGUGACAUAUCCCACAAUACAACACCUUGAAUGCUACAUCUUUCUCACCUGUUUCCCUAUAAAACCAAAGAAGUGAAUUUAAUUUGUAGACAACAUCAUAGAUCAAAACAUCAAAUAUUAAUUUCAAUUAAUGCAACAAUAUUGUCUCUCCUAGGUCCAAAAAUGUUUGUCUAACUGUCUUUCAUAGGAUGGCUGUUUUCGCCAACAAAAAAAUAUUAGUGGCGCAACUUGUUGCAAAAUCCAGAAAGGAUGACGCACUGUCUGCUUCUUUUCAUUCAUGUGUAAUUAACAUGUAAUGAGUUAGAUGAGUUAGAAAAAUGCAUUUCAAACUAUAUGUUAUAAUUGAAUUAUACCUUCUUGAAAAAUUGAAAGGGGAGAGAACACCAGUAGUGUCUCUAGCUGCCCAUCCAAAUGCCUUCUUAGGAUGCUCUACUACUUUACUUUCUGAUGCCAUUUCAAACUAUAUGUUAUAAUAAUUCAAUUAUGUCCUCAAAUACAGGUUGUGUUAUGUAUUUAUUA